GACGAACGCUGGCGGCGUGCCUAAUACAUGCAAGUUGAGCGCUGAAGGUUGGUACUUGUACCGACUGGAUGAGCAGCGAACGGGUGAGUAACGCGUGGGGAAUCUGCCUUUGAGCGGGGGACAACAUUUGGAAACGAAUGCUAAUACCGCAUAAAAACUUUAAACACAAGUUUUAAGUUUGAAAGAUGCAAUUGCAUCACUCAAAGAUGAUCCCGCGUUGUAUUAGCUAGUUGGUGAGGUAAAGGCUCACCAAGGCGAUGAUACAUAGCCGACCUGAGAGGGUGAUCGGCCCCAUUGGGACUGAGACACGGCCCAAACUCCUACGGGAGGCAGCAGUAGGGAAUCUUCGGCCAUGGACGAAAGUCUGACCGGGCAACGCCGCGUGAGUAAAGAAGGUUUUCGGAUCGUAAAACUCUGUUGGUAGAGAAGAACGUUGGUGAGAGUGGAAAGCUCAUCAAGUGACGGUAACUACCCAGAAAGGGACGGCUAACUACGUG
rnacentral:rRNA from 1 species